AAUUAGCAGGGUCUAAAUUAAUACUUUCCCCCAGAAGCUGCUGCAGUUGCACACAACCCUGCAGCUCACCCAGCCUCACCAGGAAUCCCAACUUUGUUUCUGGAAAUAUUCCGUGCUUCAUAUUGGCUGCAGUGAAAGCAAACAACAGUUUAGUGAGAAGAUGUGAUGGAGCAUCCACAAAYGUCUCAAGGUAUUAUAAAUUGCAACUCUCCAGGGACUGACUUCUACCCUUGAGCUUCUGUUACACCAUUUUGACAACAAGACUUUGMGUCUUCUUCACUGGUGUUUGUGUCUAGGGAUGAUUUAGGCUGACCUCCAGCUGUUACUGAAGCYCUAGAAAUAUUUCCUCAGGUGAGCAAAAGAACCCCUGAGUCAGGGGUUGAAGAGGACACAUUCUCCUGAAAAAAGGCAUUUUAGAGACUGCCUUUGCACACAUAGCAAAGGAUGGAUGCAAUCCUGAUAGGAAAGUCUUCUUCCUGGGAGCUGUUGAGUUCCUGUCGUUCCCUCUGCACCCCUAAGACAAAGAACCCCUGCACAUGAGAACAACUGCUUGCAAAUUCAGUUGAAAAACGUAGCUUUAAAUCCAUAGAUGCGAAAAAAACAAAGACCGUGUUCAUGUCAAGAAUCUGCUGAAUCCUGCAUUAUCCAUCUGCCCAUGUGUAAUUUAAUCUGGCACCACUUGCAGUGAUGUCAUGCCUGGAACGUCCAGCCCUGAGCACAGAGGCUCCCUGGGCUGGAGCUGCUGCCUGAGGUGGAGGGAUCAGCAGAUGUGGAAAUUCGCUCCUGCAGUGGGGCUCACAUCGAGCUGUGCCUUGGAGUAAAGGCAGUUUCUGCCCUUUAAUCCAUGCAGUUUUGGAGCAGGUAUGUGUUCAAAAGCYGGGUGGGUGAACCAGGCAGCUCCACAGGCAUUUCUUCUGGCUGAAUAUUGAGAUUUUGAGUUGUUCCAUUUCGUGUCAUUUCCAGGCAACUGCAGCAUAAGGAGUGUCUGGCAAAAUCCACUCCAUGCAGAUAAAGUUUUGCUGCAUGAGGAGUCUUCCCCCAGCCCAGCUGAGAAAAACUGGGGUCAGUUUUACCACUGAGUAUAGCUAAGGAGAUGCAGCCACGAUUGGAGUGAUGAUUUAUUGUUUUCUCCUGGAUUUGUCCAGCAAAAUUUCAAACAUACUACAGUUAUGCUGAGAAAUCACAAUGUAAGAACACGAGAUGUUCCAACSUUGCUGUCCAGAAAAACCUGGUGAUCACAGAGUUGUACUCACAACUGAGACAACUGUUUAUCAUUUUUGAAAAAUGGGCCAAAAUAUGGCAGUCAGCAUUUCUUAGAAAAUUUAAUGUGGAUUUUUGUAGCAUCAGAGUCAUGUAUCAUUAUCCAAGUACUGAUGUCAUAAUGGGGACAAUGUGGAGAUAUGGAAGAAUUAAAUGCCUAAAGAUGAAAAAUUCAAAAAGAGUUUGGUAUAAAAUUUAAUUCAUGCAACAUUAAGGGAAUUCCUGACAGGAAUUUUUCAAUCCAAGUCAUUAACGUUCAACAUCAUAAAAAAUAGAAGAUGCUGUUACAUAAUAAUUUUCAGGACUUUUCCUAAAAGUUCUCUCUUCAGGUAGACACCACAAAUAGAAUUUUUUUCAUGGCAGCAGUGAGGGGUUAUGGAAAUUCAGGKUUUUUUUCUAUUUCAUGUGGCAUAGUUGAAGAUACAGGGUGUUACUUUUAGCAAGAAAAGAGCAAAAAGGAAAAGCUCUUGCUAGCAAAUGCCUACAGCUGAGAAGUCUUCUGGAAUGCUAACUCAGAUAAGAGGAGUGACAAACAUGCCCUUGAUAUUUAUAAUUUUCGUCUUUUAUGUGGCAGCUUUUGACUUUGUGACAUUUGAAACUGUUCCUGUGAAAUGGAUUCAGAUGUUGCAAAAAGGCACCAGAUUUUCCAGAGAGUAAAAUAAUUGUCUUUAGCACAGAAAGCUGUUAUUUUUCUUGCACGAAAUAAAUCAAAAUCAAUGUUAGACUAAUAAUAAAAAAAGCUUCAGUCAUAAACAAUCUGUUCCCUUUGUUAG